rnacentral:rRNA from 1 species
GAACGGUGAAGCCAAGCUUGCUUGGUGGAUCAGUGGCGAACGGGUGAGUAACACGUGAGCAACCUGCCCUGGACUCUGGGAUAAGCGCUGGAAACGGUGUCUAAUACUGGAUAUGAGCUCUCAUCGCAUGGUGGGGGUUGGAAAGAUUUUUCGGUCUGGGAUGGGCUCGCGGCCUAUCAGCUUGUUGGUGAGGUAAUGGCUCACCAAGGCGUCGACGGGUAGCCGGCCUGAGAGGGUGACCGGCCACACUGGGACUGAGACACGGCCCAGACUCCUACGGGAGGCAGCAGUGGGGAAUAUUGCACAAUGGGCGGAAGCCUGAUGCAGCAACGCCGCGUGAGGGAUGACGGCCUUCGGGUUGUAAACCUCUUUUAGCAGGGAAGAAGCGAGAGUGACGGUACCUGCAGAAAAAGCGCCGGCUAACUACGUGCCAGCAGCCGCGGUAAUACGUAGGGCGCAAGCGUUAUCCGGAAUUAUUGGGCGUAAAGAGCUCGUAGGCGGUUUGUCGCGUCUGCUGUGAAAUCCCGAGGCUCAACCUCGGGCCUGCAGUGGGUACGGGCAGACUAGAGUGCGGUAGGGGAGAUUGGAAUUCCUGGUGUAGCGGUGGAAUGCGCAGAUAUCAGGAGGAACACCGAUGGCGAAGGCAGAUCUCUGGGCCGUAACUGACGCUGAGGAGCGAAAGGGUGGGGAGCAAACAGGCUUAGAUACCCUGGUAGUCCACCCCGUAAACGUUGGGAACUAGUUGUGGG